UUGUACCUAUUUGUAUCUGUGUGUUUACCAGAUUCAUUUUUAUUAUGCCUCAAAUGACACCAAGGAGUACCUAGGUAUAGCUUAUUAUCUUAUAGGCUAGUGCUAGGCGUAGGCUAGGCUAGCAUGUGUGCAAGUCAAAGGGUCUCACAAAACCCAAGGGUGAAGUGUUAUGACAAUUCCAUUUCUGAACAAAUAAUAAAAAAAAUGACAGUCAUGGCAUGACUUUGCAUCACAGUGCAAAUGUUCAAAUCAUCAAAUCAAAUAAACAUCAAAAUUUGAUGUUAACACUUUUCUGCAGGAAGCAGGAUUGCAGGUGUAGGACACUAAGGACAGCAGGAGCAGCUGGAAGCUUGGGACAGAUGCACUGGCCAUGCGUUACAGAGGCUUCUCAUUGCUGCCAAAAUUAUCAGAUGUUUCCUCAAAUCCAUGGCAAGCCAGCAAUCCUCUUCAUUCCCCACAAGAAAAUCAAUUACAAGCAUCCAGGAAUUUCGUAGAAAAUUUGACUGAACUUUCAAUAAAUUGCCCAGACUUUGUGCCUUCUCAGCCUGAAAAGUUUACUAAUGGCAAUGUUUCAGGAAAUUGUGAAGAAAAUUUGAAACGUUCCUCAUUGAGAAGAUAUCCUGUGAUCAACCUGAUGUCUCAAGAAGUUUUCAAGAAAAUGGGCUCAAUAAAUCUAGAGAAAUUCUCAACACUUCUGAAGACAAUCUCCACCAUUUAUUAAUGUCAGGCUGCCCACCAGAUCCAUCACGUCUGGAAUCCAUGGACCUUUUUGGCGAGUUAUCCACGGACAACAACCCAUCAGUUUUCCAGAUGCAGCAGGAGUUCAGACGAAGUUAUGUGUGGGAUCAUAUAAUGCUGGAGGUGUGCCUUUAAAUGAUCUGGGUGAGGAAUUGGGAUCUACUCCUUCACAUAUUCCUGUAAAUCACAUGAAUGAUAAGAACCACACCCGUUAUCUUGGUACGUGUGUCAAAAGACUUCUAUCUCAGGAUGAAUUUUUGAAAAAUGACUUGAAAAGUGCUAGGCAAAAUUCUGCACAUACGAAAAAUAAUCCUGCAGUGUAUGGAGCCAUAUAAUGGAGGGUUUGAUACCACAAGAGAAGCUCUGAAGGUAGCUGCCGAGGAGGCCAUGGUUAUGAAUUCUUCCAUCAAUUAUCAUAUGCAGGAAGCUGUGCCACUUGACGCCCGGUCAACGUUCUUCAUUGCUACGAGCGCUGACAGGU